CUGAUGAACAGGCGUUUAAGCAGCUGGCCCGGACAUACGCAGACUCUCACGCCAGCAUGGCCGACAACAACACAGAGAGGUGUGGAGCGUCCUUCAUCAGGAGCAGAGG